GACGUAGGGCGCGAGCGUUGUCCGGAUUUAUUGGGCGUAAAGAGCUCGUAGGCGGCUUGUCGCGUCGUCCGUGAAAACUCGGGGCUCAACCCCGAGCUUGCGGUCGAUACGGGCAGGCUCGAGUUCGGUAGGGGAGACUGGAAUUCCUGGUGUAGCGGUGAAAUGCGCAGAUAUCAGGAGGAACACCGGUGGCGAAGGCGGGUCUCUGGGCCGAUACUGACGCUGAGGAGCGAAAGCGUGGGGAGCGAACAGG
rnacentral:rRNA from 1 species